rnacentral:rRNA from 1 species
UAUCGGAAUUACUGGGCGUAAAGCGUGCGCAGGCGGUUUUGUAAGUCUGACGUGAAAUCCCCGGGCUCAACCUGGGAAUUGCGUUGGAGACUGCAAGGCUAGAAUCUGGCAGAGGGGGGUAGAAUUCCACGUGUAGCAGUGAAAUGCGUAGAGAUGUGGAGGAACACCGAUGGCGAAGGCAGCCCCCUGGGUCAAGAUUGACGCUCAUGCACGAAAGCGUGGGGAGCAAACAGGAUUAGAUACCCUGGUAGUCCACGCCCUAAACGAUGUCUACUAGUUGUCGGGUUUUAAUUAACUUGGUAACGCAGCUAACGCGUGAAGUAGACCGCCUGGGGAGUACGGUCGCAAGAUUAAAACUCAAAGGAAUUGACGGGGACCCGCACAAGCGGUGGAUGAUGUGGAUUAAUUCGAUGCAACGCGAAAAACCUUACCUACCCUUGACAUGUACGGAAGGCCGAAGAGAUUUGGCUGUGCUCGAAAGAGAACCGUAACACAGGUGCUGCAUGGCUGUCGUCAGCUCGUGUCGUGAGAUGUUGGGUUAAGUCCCGCAACGAGCGCAACCCUUGUCAUUAGUUGCUACAUUUAGUUGAGCACUCUAAUGAGACUGCCGGUGACAAACCGGAGGAAGGUGGGGAUGACGUCAAGUCCUCAUGGCCCUUAUGGGUAGGGCUUCACACGUCAUACAAUGGUACAUACAGAGGGCCGCCAACCCGCGAGGGGGAGCUAAUCCCAGAAAGUGUAUCGUAGUCCGGAUCGCAGUCUGCAACUCGACUGCGUGAAGUUGGAAUCGCUAGUAAUCGCGGAUCAGCAUGUCGCGGUGAAUACGUUCCCGGGUCUUGUACACACCGCCCGUCACACCAUGGGAGCGGGUUUUACCAGAAGUAGGUAGCUUAACCCGCAAGGAGGGCGCUUACCACGGUAGGAUUCGUGACUGGGGUGAAGUCGUACGGGUAAAACGCGGUAA